CAACUACCCCCUCUGUCCCAAAUUUCUUGUCUUAGAUUUGUCUAGAUACGGAUGUAUCUAAUACUAAAAUGUGACUUGAUACAUCCGUAUCUAGACAAAUCUAAGACAAUAAUUUUGGGACGGAGGGAGUACUUU
rnacentral:pre_miRNA from 1 species